AGCGGAGGAAAAGAAACCAACCGGGAUUGCCUUAGUAACGGCGAGUGAAGCGGCAAAAGCUCAAAUUUGAAAUCUGGUACCUUCGGUGCCCGAGUUGUAAUUUGGAGAGGGCAACUUUGGGGCCGUUCCUUGUCUAUGUUCCUUGGAACAGGACGUCAUAGAGGGUGAGAAUCCCGUGUGGCGAGGAGUGCGGUUCUUUGUAAAGUGCCUUCGAAGAGUCGAGUUGUUUGGGAAUGCAGCUCUAAGUGGGUGGUAAAUUCCAUCUAAAGCUAAAUAUUGGCGAGAGACCGAUAGCGAACAAGUACAGUGAUGGAAAGAUGAAAAGAACUUUGAAAAGAGAGUGAAAAAGUACGUGAAAUUGUUGAAAGGGAAGGGCAUUUGAUCAGACAUGGUGUUUUGUGCCCUCUGCUCCUUGUGGGUAGGGGAAUCUCGCAUUUCACUGGGCCAGCAUCAGUUUUGGUGGCAGGAU
rnacentral:rRNA from 1 species